GCGGACGUAGCUCAGCUGGUAGAGCCCUAGUCUGUGAAUCUAGUUGUCGCGGGUUCGAGCCCCGUCGUUCGCCCCA
rnacentral:tRNA from 1 species